rnacentral:tRNA from 1 species
UAUUAGCUCAGUUGGUUAGAGCGCACCCCUGAUAAGGGUGAGGUCGGUGGUUCAAGUCCACCCAGACC